AACGAACGUUAGCGGCGCGCUUAACACAUGCAAGUCGAGCGAGAAAGGGCUUCGGCCCCGGUAAAGCGGCGCACGGGUGAGUAACACGUAGGUAAUCUGCCCUCGGGUGGUGGAUAACUUUCCGAAAGGAAGGCUAAUACAGCAUGAGACCACUGAUUCCGAAAGGGAUUGAGGUCAAAGCCGGCCAAUUCAUGAAAGCU
rnacentral:rRNA from 1 species